rnacentral:rRNA from 1 species
UACGAAGGGGGCGAGCGUUGUUCGGAUUUACUGGGCGUAAAGGGCGCGCAGGCGGCGAUCUUUGUCAGGCGUGAAAGCCCCGGGCUUAACCUGGGAACUGCGCUUGGGACGGGAUUGCUGGAGACCGAGAGAGGAGAGUGGAAUUCCCAGUGUAGAGGUGAAAUUCGUAGAUAUUGGGAAGAACACCGGUGGCGAAGGCGGCUCUCUGGACCGGUACUGACGCUGAGGUGCGAAAGCGUGGGGAGCAAACAGG